GGGGGGGGGAAGAUGCCGUUGAGACCCUCACGUCCAGGACCCGAUGGCCCACACCACAAAGGAGCUCCAGUCACCUCAAGGUGAUGCAAAUCCUACGGUCAGCGGGGCCCAACCAACGCUGCCGGGAGACGCCUUGGUACCGUCAACGGUACAAGGGCGGCAGAGCACAGAGGAAAUAGUGGCUCUGUACUGAGUAAUGACAGGCACAUCCGCUAUGGCAGUCAAGGCUGAAAUGGUGAAAACAGCUCCUCGA
rnacentral:lncRNA from 1 species